UCUGAGGGGAAUGUUGUCUGGACCGGGGACACUUGUGUUUCUAAUCCAUUUUCCCUGCAAUAUUGUUCUGGCCAUGGGGAUCUUUAUAUUGCUUAUUUUUGUAAUGGAUUAAGGUUGUACUAGUGUCGUCGGACCAGGCUUCAUUCCCCCCAAU
rfam:Gossypium hirsutum cultivar TM-1 chromosome 6, whole genome shotgun sequence